rnacentral:misc_RNA from 1 species
UUUCAUUCACUGGACAGCAAAACCGUGUUAUAUUCAAUCUCAUUUAACAUCCACACGAUACAAGUGAAGCACAAGAAACAAAGGUCAAAAAUCUUCACACAGAAGUAUAUUAUAGUUCAGCAUCAAAUUAAUGGAAGAUGAGAGAAAACAUAGGCUGUAGAACAGAAGCACAUUAAUGGACACUGCUGAAGACCUCAGCGAAAUAACGCUAGCACAUACAGAUUCUUGAACAUAGGAGACAGGUAGACAUGAUAGCGGAAAGCUAAGGAAUGAUCAACUCUUUCAGUUGUUUAUGAUUCUGCAGUAACUUCUGUUGUUAUCGCAGGGAUAGUCUCAUGGUCACCCUCAAGCUUGCUUAAGUUGCCUUUCUCCUUGAUAAGUUGAAUAUGGUGAUGCUUACAGUAGAGGCGCCCUUCAUGUGCGAUAUAGUUGGAAAGGCUAAUUACACACCCUCCAUGGCUACAUUUGAAGCAGUUUUUGUGGUAUGGUGUACCAUUAACUGAUACCUUCUCUGUUGGAUAGACAGUGUUCUUGCAG